rnacentral:sRNA from 1 species
GGGGAUGUAAUUGGUUUCGACAGUAAUGUAGAAACAUAGAUAGCGAGCAGUGGAUUCUCGUUGGCCACUUAAAAAAACGGGAAAACAAAAUAAACGCUGAUAAUAGAGAAUUAGCAUUUGCUGCCUAAUUAAUGGCUGCAUCGCCUUUUUAUAAGGCCUACUAUUAUAACAAAGGCGUCAUAUAAAGUAGGAAACAAAGUUAUUUCUUGUCUUGGAAAUAAUGGGUACCUAUAAAGACUACUAAAAAUUACUUAGUUUGUUUAUUAACUGUAAUUUUUGGGAAUGUUAAUAAUAAACUACGCUCGUAGAAGUUUAUGCGGAAAUAUUAUUGGACGAGGGUUCAACUCCCUCCAUCUCCACCA